AUUGAACGCUGGCGGCAGGCCUAACACAUGCAAGUCGAGCGAGCGGCGGACGGGUGAGUAAUGUAUGGGGACUGCCCGCUAGAGGGGGAUAACUACUGGAAACGGUGGCUAAUACCGCAUACUAUCGGAUAACCCAUAUGGGAUUAGCUAGUAGGGGGGGUAAAGGCUCUCCUAGGCGACGAUCUCUAGCUGGUCUGAGAGGAUGAUAAGCCACACGGUGACGGAUAUGCGGCCCAUACGCCUACGGAGGCAGCAGUUGGGAGUAUUGCACAAUGGGCGAAAGCCUGAUGCAGCAAGGCCGCGUGGAUGAAGAAGGCCUUAGGGUUAUAAAUUACUUUCAGCGGGGAUGCGUUACCCGCAGAAGAAGCACCGGCUAACUCCGUGCCAGCAGCCGCGGUAAUAA
rnacentral:rRNA from 1 species